rnacentral:rRNA from 1 species
UACGAAGGGGGCUAGCGUUGUUCGGAUUUACUGGGCGUAAAGCGCACGUAGGCGGCUUUCUAAGUCAGGGGUGAAAUCCUGGAGCUCAACUCCAGAACUGCCUUUGAUACUGGAAAGCUUGAGUUCGGGAGAGGUGAGUGGAACUGCGAGUGUAGAGGUGAAAUUCGUAGAUAUUCGCAAGAACACCAGUGGCGAAGGCGGCUCACUGGCCCGAUACUGACGCUGAGGUGCGAAAGCGUGGGGAGCAAACAGG